AUUGAACGCUAGCGGGAUGCCUUACACAUGCAAGUCGAACGGCAGCGCGGACUUCGGUCUGGCGGCGAGUGGCGAACGGGUGAGUAAUGCCUGGGGAGCUGCCCAAUCGAGGGGGAUACCAGUUGGAAACGACUGCUAAUACCGCAUACGCCCUGAGGGGGAAAGUGGGGAUCUUCGGACCUAUCGCGAUUGGAUGCACCCAGGUGGGAUUAGCUAGUUGGUGAGGUAACGGCUCACCAAGGCGACGAUCUCUAGCUGGUCUGAGAGGAUGACCAGCCACACUGGAACUGAGACACGGUCCAGACUCCUACGGGAGGCAGCAGUGGGGAAUAUUGGACAAUGGGCGCAAGCCUGAUCCAGCCAUGCCGCGUGUGUGAAGAAGGCCUC
rnacentral:rRNA from 1 species